GUUUUUUUUAUAUCAGACUCCGUAUUUUAUUUUCAUAGUAUUAAAUUUUUGUAAUCAUAUGAAAGUAUUAAAUAGAACUAAAUAUACUUAAUCAAUCGAUAUAUAGAUGCUAUAGUAAAUACACUGCGAUACAAGCGCAUUUGUAACCAUUGUAUAUAUGUAAGUAGCUGUGACGCGAAUGUUUGAGGUUAACCACUGAAAUUACUUCCCAAAGAGGUUUCCCAGACUUUAACUCGAGAACCUUCCUCGUUAGUAAUUUGAAGAGCUAGAAAGCAUUACGCCAGUCUUAUCUUCGAGUUCAUCGACCUCGUCGCUUUUAAUCUCUUUUGACAAUGAGUGUAAAGGUACUCUGUCCUAUAGAAAAUUAUACCACCUGCCAUUCUCCUAUAAAAUUAACUAUUCUCAUCAAACAAUCUUCCAUGAGAAACUCUGUUCUCGUACACCCCAAGAACUCUUGCUAAUCUUCCAAUUUCUUAAUCAUACACGAUCUCCUCAUCAACCUAACCUCAAAUUGCUACUCUAUCGAUUCUUCGUUCCAGCAGGUUACAAUGAUAUAAAAAAAAACCAUCCAACCUAAUUGAAUUCGCACCCUAUGAGUACAAUGUGAAGAGCAAUUAAAGGGACGACAAAGUGGACAGGGAGGCUCUCUGAAAAUGUUCACCUUCCUCAAAGAAAUCGCACUGAAAGCGCAGAGAGGCCAAAAGACAAACGGAAGAGAGCCAGAUGGCUGGCUGAACGUUGUAAAAGCUCGAGCAAAGGAAUUGCUUUGACUUCGAUCACGUUAGCCAUGGACUAGCCAUUUCCAGUACAACGUUCGAGAAGGACCGUGAAAGUUUUCGCCGAAAUAGGAGAGAUGUUCGACGCGUUCGAAGAAAGCAGGCGUUUCGUUUCAAAGGCGUCGCACGCCGAUCGAUCGACCUUCCUACCUUCCUUGAAACAGGAACGCGUUUUCGGGCUCACCUUGCACCUGCAAGAAGGCAAAGGGCAAGGGAGAUUGAUAGAUCGAUAGAUGGGUGGGGAUAGGGUGGAGAAUUGGGAUAGAAGCGGUGGUAAUGAAUGGAAAUAUUUCAGAAUAUUUCUGAACAGAGAUAUAAGGAUCCUAGUUUCGUUGCUUAUCGUUCGAAUCCCCUAAAUCAGAGUCGAUAAGUAAAACUCGAUGCAAAAACGCUUCUGAUAAAAAGAAACGUAUCUUUCCUCGAGAAGGAUGUAAUCUCGGUAGCAGCAAAUAUAAACGAUACACUGGAGGAACUGAGACACUCGGCUUAAACGAGUUACCGACAGAGUUAGUGAAGAGCGACCGAGUAAUUGAAGGCACUUUGGUCAGCGACUUAACUUAUUUCCCUCAUUUAACGGAUCGAAAGUACACAGACGAAAAGACGCAUAUACGAGCCAACUAAACAGAAGAGAAGAAACCACGUAAAGGUAGAGAUACAGGAGAUAAAUUGUAAAAGAAUAAUUAAAAAGAAGAUGUCGCCGCAACGAAAAACCGAUUCCGAUAUCUGAGCAAACGAAUACUUCCAAACAGGAAAAAACCGGUGAAACCCAGCAUCGAUAUCUAAAACGCAUCGAGGGAGGAUCGUGUUUCUAUUGUCAAUCGGUCUUUCGUUCAAUCGAACGAUCACCGACAGGUGUUUUACAUGAAAGCGUCUAUAAAAAGCGAGAGAAAAAAAAGGGGGAAAGGGGAAGAGGCGAAACACAGAGGAAAAAAAGAAACAGCAG